AGUGAACGCUGGCGGUAGGCCUAACACAUGCAAGUCGAACGGCAGCACAGUAAGAGCUUGCUCUUACGGGUGGCGAGUGGCGGACGGGUGAGGAAUACAUCGGAAUCUACUUUUUCGUGGGGGAUCACGUAGGGAAACUUACGAUAAUACCGCAUACGACCUACGGGUGAAAGCAGGGGAACUUCGGACCUUGCGCGAUUGAAUGAGCCGAUGUCGGAUUAGCUAGUUGGCGGGGUAAAGGCCCACCAAGGCGACGAUCCGUAGCUGGUGUGAGAGGAUGAUCAGCCACACUGGAACGGAGACACGGUCCAGACUCCUACGGGAGGCAGCAGUGGGGAAUAGGGGACAAUGGGCGCAAGCCUGAUCCAGCCAGACCGCGUGGGUGAAGAAGGCCUUCGGGUUGUAAAGCCCGUUUGUAGGGAAAGAAAAGCAGCAGCUUAAGACGCCGCGGGUCUGACGGUACCCAAUGAAUAAGCACCGGCUAACUUCGUG
rnacentral:rRNA from 1 species